UUUAAAUUGAUGACGGAACGAGUAUGUUACAGUCCAUUUUUAGAGAGAAACUUCCAUCGGCUGAAAGAAGUUUUAAAUGAAGGGUAACAGAACGCUAAUCCUGAGAGCAGCUAAUCACUGCCGUCUUGCCACGUUACGGCACCAUGAGGUGAUGAAAUAAAUGCAUAUUGUUAUGAUAUGCAAUCUAGCUUCAGCGUCUAAAAGCAAGACGCUUCUGCUUUUUAUUUCAUAAUUAGGGUGGUAUCGCGAGUUAACUCUCGUCCCUUUU
rnacentral:ncRNA from 1 species